rnacentral:lncRNA from 1 species
GCAGUUGUCCGGGACCUUAAAAGAUGUAUAGGACUUGGACAGCUGGCUAUCUGAGGGGCAGACACAACGUCCCAGCAGGGGGAGUUGUGGGGUAAAGAUCUAAAGGGAGGUGCACAGUGUCAUCCUUGGGGUGCCCGGUUGGGGAGUAAAAGAAUGUGGAGCAUAGGUAGGAAGGCAGGUAGGAUCAGACUGGGAGAAGCUUGGGAUGCUGUGAAGUUUCAACUCUCAACUUUACAGAAGGGGAGUCCCUGAAGGUCUCUGAGCAGAAGUAUGCUGCAGCAAGAGCAGGUACUCUUGCAGCUGCUGAAGGAUGUACUGCAGUGGAAGCCAGCUGAGACCUGAGCUAAUGCCACUGCGGCCACCACUACUCUAGACUGGGGAGAAAAGAUAAAGAUGGCAACAGGACGCGAGUGGAGAGUAGUUGCAGAUGACCUCUAGAGCCCCUCCUAGCUCUUUCUAGAGUCGACGACUUCAAGAUGGGUAAGACGUACUCCCACCGGCCUGCCUGGGCCCCGGGCUGUGGAGCACGGCGCCUCCAAGCUGGCGCCCUGACGACGAGAGCCACUCCUGACGCCUCUCGCCCGCGGCCGCCAGCGGCACGGAAAGUAUGGCACGCACCCAGGGUGGUGCGUGAGGGCAGAGGAGCAGGCCAGGAGCGCGGCCGGGCAUGGGCCGAGGCAGGGCCUUCUCGGCUUGCCAUGGACCUGCCCCGCUGCAGCCCAGACCUCACGCCCCAAACCCAGGACAUCCAGAGCGGCGGAGACCGGAUUCCCAGACCGCAGGGCCCGUACACGCUGCGAGGAGGCUGCGCGGGGAAGGGCUGGGCGGAGCUCCGCAGGGGCGGGGACAGGUGAUUGGGUGGCACCGCCAGGGGCGUGGCCAGGGGCGGUGCUCCCGCCUGCCGGCGCGUUGGCUGCGGG